GAUCCUGGCUCAGGACGAACGCUGGCGGCGUGCCUAAUACAUGCAAGUUGAACGCUUGAUUUUCACCGAAGCUUGCUUCACCGAAAAUCAAGAGUAGCGAACGGGUGAGUAACGCGUGGGUAACCUACCUUUCAGCGGGGGAUAACUAUUGGAAACGAUAGCUAAUACCGCAUAACAAUGUUGGAUGCAUAUUCGACAUUUGAAAGUAUCAAUUGGUACACUGAGAGAUGGACCCGCGUUGUAUUAGCUAGUUGGUAGUGUAAUGGACUACCAAGGCGAUGAUACAUAGCCGACCUGAGAGGGUGAUCGGCCACAUUGGGACUGAGACACGGCCCAAACUCCUACGGGAGGCAGCAGUAGGGAAUCUUCCGCAAUGGACGAAAGUCUGACGGAGCAACGCCGCGUGAGUGAAGAAGGUUUUCGGAUCGUAAAACUCUGUUGUCAGAGAAGAACAAGUUGGAGAGUAACUGCUCCAGCCUUGACGGUAUCUGACCAGAAAGCCACGGCUAACUACGUGCCAGCAGCCGCGGUAAUACGUAGGUGGCAAGCGUUGUCCGGAUUUAUUGGGCGUAAAGCGAGCGCAGGCGGUUUCUUAAGUCUGAUGUGAAAGCCCCCGGCUUAACCGGGGAGGGUCAUUGGAAACUGGGAGACUUGAGUGCAGAAGAGGAGAGUGGAAUUCCAUGUGUAGCGGUGAAAUGCGUAGAUAUAUGGAGGAACACCAGUGGCGAAGGCGACUCUCUGGUCUGUAACUGACGCUGAGGCUCGAAAGCGUGGGGAGCAAACAGGAUUAGAUACCCUGGUAGUCCACGCCGUAAACGAUGAGUGCUAAGUGUUGGAGGGUUUCCGCCCUUCAGUGCUGCAGCUAACGCAUUAAGCACUCCGCCUGGGGAGUACGACCGCAAGGUUGAAACUCAAAGGA
rnacentral:rRNA from 1 species